GAGUUUUGAUCAUGGCUCAGGAUGAACGCUGGCGGCGUGCCUAACACAUGCAAGUCGAACGAAGCACUUACUUCCAAAUCUUCGGAAGAGGAGGUAUUUUGACUGAGUGGCGGACGGGUGAGUAACGCGUGGGGAACCUGCCCCGUACCGGGGGAUAACAGUCAGAAAUGACUGCUAAUACCGCAUAAGCGCACGAAGGCGCAUGCUUUUGUGUAGAAAAACUCCGGUGGUACGGAUGGUCCCGCGUCUGAUUAGCCAGUUGGCGGGUAACGGCCCACCAAAGCGACGAUCAGUAGCCGGCCUG
rnacentral:rRNA from 1 species